rnacentral:rRNA from 1 species
UACGAGUGGUACAAGCGUUAUCCGGUUUUACUGGGCGUAAAGGGUCCGCAGGUGGUUCUACAAGUUUGGUGUUAAAUCCUGGUGCUCAACAUCAGGGCCGCAUCGAAAACUGUAAGACUAGAGGCUGGGAGAGGCAUACGGAAUUGCUGGUGUAGGGGUAAAAUCCGUUAAUAUCAGCAAGGACACCAAAGGCGAAGGCAGUAUGCUAGAACAGUCCUGACACUCAGGGACGAAAGCGUGGGGAGCGAAUGGG